rnacentral:rRNA from 1 species
GACGAACGCUGGCGGCGUGCUUAACACAUGCAAGUCGAACGAAGAGCGAUGGAAGCUUGCUUCUAUCACUCUUAGUGGCGAACGGGUGAGUAACGCGUAAUCAACCUGCCCUUCAGAGGGGGACAACAGUUGGAAACGACUGCUAAUACCGCAUACGAUCUAACCUCGGCAUCGAGGAAAGAUGAAAGGUGGCCUCUAUGUAUAAGCUAUCACUGAAGGAGGGGAUUGCGUCUGAUUAGCUAGUUGGAGGGGUAACGGCCCACCAAGGCGAUGAUCAGUAGCCGGUCUGAGAGGAUGAACGGCCACAUUGGGACUGAGACACGGCCCAGACUCCUACGGGAGGCAGCAGUGGGGAAUCUUCCGCAAUAGACGAAAGUCUGACGGAGCAACGCCGCGUGAGUGAUGACGGCCUUCGGGUUGUAAAGCUCUGUUAAUCGGGACGAAAGGCCUUCUUGCGAAUAGUGAGAAGGAUUGACGGUACCGGAAUAGAAAGCCACGGCUAACUACGUG